rnacentral:rRNA from 1 species
GCUCAAAUUUGAAAUCUCGCAGGGUCACCUGCUGCGAAUUGUAGUUUCUAGAAACGUUUUCGGGGGCAACUCGAGCAUAAGUCCUUUGGAACGAGGCAUCAUAGAGGGUGAGAAUCCCGUCUUUGGCUCGAUGCGUGCUCCUAUGUGAUACGUUUUCGAAGAGUCGGUUUGUUUGGGAAUGCAGACCAAAAUGGGUGGUAAAUACCAUCUAAAGCUAAAUAUAGGCGAGAGACCGAUAGCGAACAAGUACCGUGAGGGAAAGAUGAAAAGAACUUUGAAAAGAGAGUUAAACAGUACGUGAAAUUGUCAAAAGGGAAACGCUUGAUACCAGUAUUGCUUGCAGUUGAUCAGCCGUGCGUUCGCGUGCGGUGCACUCUUCUGCGAGCGGGUCAACAUCAAUUUGGUUCGACAGCAAAAAACCGAAGGAACGUAGCAUGGGGUUCGCUCCGUGUGUUAUAGCCUUCGGCCAACUGCUUUGGACUGGAUUGAGGACUGCAGCGUUUCUUGGGUAACCGGUCGCCUUUCGAAGCACUCGCUUGGACAGCUUGCUGAUCAGGCUUGCGACUAGAGAGCCUCGGCCGGGGUCCACACCAACGCUUCGGAUGUUGACGAAAUGGUCUCAAACGACCCGUCUUGAAACACGGACCAAGGAGUCUAACAUAUAUGCGAGUGUUUGGGUGUCAAACCCUUGCGCGUAGUGAAAGCAAACUUAGGUGGGAUCUUCGGUGCACCAUCGACCGGACUGGAUUUUUUUAUGAUAGUUCUGAGUAAGAGCAUAUAUGUUAGGACCCGAAAGAUGGUGAACUAUGCCUGAAUAGGGUGAAGCCAGAGGAAACUCUGGUGGAGGCUCGUAGCGAUUCUGACGUGCAAAUCGAUCGUCGAAUUUGGGU